rnacentral:sRNA from 1 species
CAUAAGUAUAGAAAAAAAAAUCCUUGAAUGUUGAAUGUUGAAUUUGUUAUGAACUCUUGGUUUUCAAUACAUACAAAUAUAGGAAUAAAUAAAGCUGUGAAUGUGUGUGUGUGUGUGUGUGCACGCAGGCAAACACAUAUUUCCUAGUUCUGU